UUCCUUUUUAAGUUAAAUAUUGGUGCGAGACCGAUAGCGAACAAGUCCCGUGGAGGAAAGAUGAAAAGAACUUUGAAAAGAGAGUUAAAGAGUACCUGAAACUGCUGAAAGGGAACCGAAUCGUUUCCAGUGUCUAUAAUCCAUGGUAUAUUUCAUUGGUGCGUAAGUGCGUGCAGCGUUUUGGAAGUAGUUUUCUGCUCCCGUCGUUGUUGUGCAUUUGCUUGCUGGUGCCCUGUGCUGUGGUGGGACGUCAGAGUCAGUUUGUAUGUUGCGGGAAAUGGUUAUUGGGGAGGUAGGUCACUUCGGUGGCUGUUAUAUCCUGAUAACUUGUCGUCGUGGCUGAGACUGAGGUGCCUACAAUGUGCUUUCGAGUCUGCGGGCUUCUCGUGUUGCUGUUUGCUUGGAUAGCUUGCUAUGUUUGUGAAUAAGUCGUGCGAUUGAGACCUGUAGUAACUUGUUGCCGUUCGGGACUUUGACGAAAUGGAGCGAUCCGACCCGUCUUGAAACACGGACCAAGGAGUCUAACAUGUGUGCAAGUGUUAGGGUGUGGAAACCCCAGCGCGGAAUGAAAGUAAAGGGCAGCCUAGCUGCCUGAGGUAGGAAACCUUUGUUUACAGGGGUGGCACUAUCGACCGAUCAUGAACCUUCGUGGUGAAAGAUUUGAGUUUGAGCACAUAUGUUGGUACCCGAAAGAUGGUGAACUAUGCCUGAGUAGGGUGAAGCCAGGGGAAACUCUGGUGGAAGCUCGUAGCGAUUCUGACGUGCAAAUCGAUCGUCGAACUUGGGUAUAGGGGCGAAAGACUAAUCGAACCAUCUAGUAGCUGGUUCCCUCCGAAAUUUCCCUCAGGAUAGCAGCAACUUAUUUACGAUAGUUUUAUGAGGUAAAGCGAAUGAUUAGAGGAUUCUGUGGAGAAACUCUGUGGACCUAUUCUCAAACUUUAAAUCUGUAAGACCUGCAGGUUUCUUAAUUGAACUUGUGGAUGUGAAUAUCAAGUUGCUAGUGGGCCAUACGGGGUAAGCUCGUCUGGCGAUGCGGGAUGAACCGAACGCAAUGUUAAAGUGCCAAAGUGCCCGCUCACCUAGAUACCAUAAAAGGUGUUGGUUC
rnacentral:rRNA from 1 species